GCUGUGACGUAUCUGAAGAGGAAGGAGGAAAAGGGGAGUGGAAAGAACCUUAGUGAGAUUCAAAUCAGGUUUCUCGAAAAUAGAACGAUCUCUUUAAAAAACACAAAAAUAUUUUUAAACCUUCCCAUGGUCGUUAAAUUAUGAUUCAUUUAAUUUUGAGCCAAAAUACUGUUAGGAUCAUGGUCUCCUCCCACUCCUACCGGGGAAUCAUCUCCUCACCUGUUACCAUUCUCCUCAUCAAUCUUCAGCCUAUUUAUGGAUCCCUCACCCUCCAGCCGGCGUUGGCCCGUCUGCUCUCAGCGGAAUUGCCUCCAGCGUCAUCCUCACCAUUGUUCUCAUCUGCCGUCCAGGAUCAGGACACAAAGCAAGGCUCCACAAAACUUUACCGUCGUUGCAAACCCCACCAGACCAGCCGUUCUUCAUUCCUUCAGACGUCCAAGCCACAAGCCGUCAAAGCCAGAACUCACCAAAAUAAAGACUUUUUCUCAUUUA